AAUAAACUCACAACGAUACAUUUUUGGAAAAUGCAGCGUCUCAAAAGGUUAGCACUUAAUGGAAAUAGAUUUGCAAAAGUUCCUAAUUUCUGCAGUUUUAAUGGCAGUUUAUUUCCGAGACUUGAGAGCUCGUCCUUGUGUGAUAAUAAUAUCGGGAAUAUUGAUAGAACGUCAUCUAUUUGUCUGCCUAAACUUGUGGUCUUACA
rnacentral:lncRNA from 1 species